CGAAAUGCGAUAAGUAGUGUGAAUUGCAGAAUUCAGUGAAUCAUCGAAUCUUUGAACGCACAUUGCGCCCCUUGGUAUUCCAUGGGGCAUGCCUGUUCGAGCGUCAUUUGUACCCUCAAGCUCUGCUUGGUGUUGGGUGUUUGUCCCCGUCUCCGCGCGUGGACUCACCCCAAAGUGAUUGGCAGCCGGCGUACUGGUCCCGGAGCGCAGCACAUGUCGCGCAAACGAGUGCCUUGGUACGGCGGCGUCCAUAAGCCCCUCUCUCACGCUCUUGACCUCGGAUCAGGUAGGGAUACCCGCUGAACUUAAGC
rnacentral:misc_RNA from 1 species